rnacentral:rRNA from 1 species
GACGAACGCUGGCGGCGUGCUUAACACAUGCAAGUCGAACGGUGACGGAGAGCUUGCUCCCCUGAUCAGUGGCGAACGGGUGAGUAACACGUGGGCAACCUGCCCCAGACUUCGGGAUAACGCUUCGAAAGAGGUGCUAAUACCGAAUACGAACGCCGUGGGCAUCCACGGUGUUGGAAAGUUGUUCGGUCUGGGAUGGGCCCGCGGCCUAUCAGCUUGUUGGUGAGGUAAUGGCUCACCAAGGCGACGACGGGUAGCCGGCCUGAGAGGGCGACCGGCCACACUGGGACUGAGACACGGCCCAGACUCCUACGGGAGGCAGCAGUGGGGAAUAUUGCGCAAUGGGCGAAAGCCUGACGCAGCAACGCCGCGUGGGGGAUGAAGGCCUUCGGGUUGUAAACCUCUUUCAGCAGGGAAGAAGCGAAAGUGACGGUACCUGCAGAAGAAGCACCGGCUAACUACGUGCCAGCAGCCGCCGUAAAAC